rnacentral:rRNA from 1 species
AUUGAACGCUGGCGGCAUGCCUUACACAUGCAAGUCGAACGGCAGCACGGGUGCUUGCCCCUGGUGGCGAGUGGCGAACGGGUGAGUAAUACAUCGGAACAUGUCCUGUAGUGGGGGAUAGCCCGGCGAAAGCCGGAUUAAUACCGCAUACGAUCUACGGAUGAAAGCGGGGGACCUUCGGGCCUCGCGCUAUAGGGUUGGCCGAUGGCUGAUUAGCUAGUUGGUGGGGUAAAGGCCUACCAAGGCGACGAUCAGUAGCUGGUCUGAGAGGACGACCAGCCACACUGGGACUGAGACACGGCCCAGACUCCUACGGGAGGCAGCAGUGGGGAAUUUUGGACAAUGGGCGAAAACCUGAUCCAGCAAUGCCGCGUGUGUGAAGAAGGCCUUCGGGUUGUAAAGCACUUUUGUCCGGAAAGAAAUCCUUGGCUCUAAUACAGUCGGGGGAUGACGGUACCGGAAGAAUAAGCACCGGCUAACUACGUG